UUCCAAAAUUAGUCAGGAAUAUUUAUUGUUAUAUAUACACCAUUUCUGUGUAUGACUGUUGGAUAGUAACAAAAAAUCUUUUGAAUUGCAGAUUCCGAGACUCGAAGAUGAAGGGGAUUCUGAUUCGUGAUUUUCGACCAAUAAAUCCAUGGGAUGCUAGCAAAGAGAAAUAGACGGUAGAGGAGGACAUGGUGGCAGGUAAUCAAAGAUAUAAUGUUUUUGUGUUGCUUUGUUUCCGGUGUAGAUUUUGUUUUGCAUUACUGUGUCUCCGGUUUGAUUCUUGUUCUUGUUCUUAUCUGGAU